GCCAAAUAAGAUGGGCUGGAUCAAUAUUCUUAUAUUUCUCUGAUGCUUUUGAUUUGUUCUGUGGGUUACUUUUAUUUCCAUUUUUAAAAUGAAGUUCAAGAGUCUAGGUCCAGCAGACUGGAUUCUACUAUUUUUCUCAUUUUUUCCAUUCUCGUAAUAAUACUUUGUUCAUGGGGACAGCUUAGAGGAAGUUCCCACUUAAUGGAUAAAUAAAAUAGUGCAUUGGUCUUCAGUGACUGAUAAACUAUCAUUUUGGUGUUAUUCUCUGAUGCUAAUGGUGACCUGUACACUGCCUAAGUUUUGUGUAAUGUCAAAAUGCUGUUGUUUUCUUACAUGUGAUGUGCUGGUUAUCUCUGAUUUCGUUCAAGUUUUUUACAGACAGAAUUACUGAGCUAGUCCAGUGUAAAUAUUUGCACAUGCUUAGAUGGAAGAGAUUUUGUACACGCAGCAACGUUAUUGAACAACUUUAUCCUCUCUAUCAGAAGCGAAUUAGUCACAUCAUGGAGGAAUACAGUGAUGCAGUUCAGAGGGCUGCAAGACUUUCGGCUGCAAGGGAAACUUUCCUGACAGGAAAGAAAAAUCCGGUGAAUGUAGUGACACAGGAAGAUAUGAUGAUCUACACCCAGUGGUUAGUGUGUCACUUGCACUCUGUGAAGGGCAUUCACCAUUUUCUUCAGGUUCUCCAGCAUUUGCCUGUUUCUCGCAGAAUGAAUGUGGCUAGGGAGAAAUGUCCUGAUGUGGUCCAAGACAACUGGGACAUGUUAAGAAGUGCUCUUUACAAGAAUUCAGAUAUUUUUAACAUUAAUGUCUCUCUCUGCUCCAGAGUUAUACAAAAAAAUGAAUCCUGCUGCAAGGACGCUGGAUCCACUUUACCCCAGCACAGCACUGAAACAGAGGAGCUGAAACCUCAGCUCCAGCUUCUGCUUGCUCACUUUGACAUCAACUACAGCCUUAAGGAUCUGAAGAAUUCAGCUGAUGAGAUGGAGCUCUUUUUCCUGGUAACUGAAGAGUGCUUCUCAAUAUUAAAUAUAUACAUACAUAUAUGUAUACAUAUAUACACACACACACACACACACACACAUAUAUAUAUAUAGCUUUAAAGAUAUCAGUAGACAUUCCAGUUACUAUAACUCAGUGUUUUACAUUACAAAAUAAUAAGAUCCUGGGCAUUUUUAGUUUUGACAGGAUGUGGCAGAAAGGCCUGGAUCGCUUCCACUAAGCUAUAGCAACUGCUGAAAGUACCACAGCAUUCAUACUUUUCACGUUAUUACUCUGAGUCCACGUCUUUAUUCUCCUAGCUCUCACUCAGGCCUUUUAUGUGUCUUUCUUGAGUUUUCCUGCCCUCGUGUUAUAGCAUAUCACAGACCUGUUGUAUUUCCGCUAGAGGUCGGCCUUCUACACACCAUUGUAAAGGACCUCACCAAGCCUCUGCCGCUCAGGGGUUAUCAGCAAAACAGCUGUGCUUUUCACCUGUUACCUGACUUCAAAGGCCAAACCAACCAAAAAUCUCCAUCAUCUGUUCAGAGUGCGAGAGAUGCAUAGAAGUUAAACGUAAAUAACAUAUUGCUUAUAAAUACAGACAUCAUCUUAUAAAUCAUGCCUUUUUUUCAACCAGGUGGUAGAGCUGAAAAGGACAAAGUUUUGGAGAUGUAAGUUGUUUUGUAAGUCUAUACUCAAAUUAACGUUUGACUAGUCCAACUCAACUCACCGGAACGAUCCAAGAUAAGGACAGGCAGAAGUGUUUGCACAACUGGGCAAUACUGUACCUUGCUUUAUUGUAAAUUUCCUUCUAAAUUACCUUUAUUGUGGACCAGCAGUGGCUUACUCCUUUUUGGACAGGAUGCUCAUAGAGCUUAUUCUAGGCUAAUAUUGUUCCCAUCAAAGCUGACAAUAAUAAAUUUCCCAUUGACGAUAAGUAUUUUUGGAAA
ensembl:lncRNA